rnacentral:rRNA from 1 species
AGGACGCUUUCAAAGGCGAAAGGCCAUGGGGAGAUAUCGUAUGAUCCAUGGAUCUUCGAUCAGGAAACCGUAUCCAAGCUCCGAGGCUAGUCUGCACUCUUUGGACUUUUGAAACUUAGUGAAUUGAAACAUCUGAGUAGCUAAAGGAAGGGAAAUCAAUCGAGAGCUCGUUAGUAGUAGCGAGCGAAAACGGC